AACGAACGCUGGCGGCAGGCCUAACACAUGCAAGUCGAGCGCGCCCUUCGGGGUGGGCGGCGGACGGGUGAGUAACGCGUGGGAACGUGCCCUUUUCUACGGAAUAGCCUCGGGAAACUGAGAGUAAUACCGUAUACGCCCUUUGGGGGAAAGAUUUAUCGGAAAAGGAUCGGCCCGCGUUGGAUUAGGUAGUUGGUGGGGUAAUGGCCUACCAAGCCGACGAUCCAUAGCUGGUUUGAGAGGAUGAUCAGCCACACUGGGACUGAGACACGGCCCAGACUCCUACGGGAGGCAGCAGUGGGGAAUCUUAGACAAUGGGGGCAACCCUGAUCUAGCCAUGCCGCGUGAGUGAUGAAGGCCUUAGGGUUGUAAAGCUCUUUCAGCUGGGAAGAUAAUGACGGUACCAGCAGAAGAAGCCCCGGCUAACUCCGUG
rnacentral:rRNA from 1 species